AAGACUAUAGACCUGCGGAGUACCUGCGGAAGGAUCAUUAAUGAAACUGAAGUCUUCGGACUCAAUCUUCAUUAUUCCACACACACACCUGUGCACCUUUUUUUUGAUUCGAGUGCUGGUUAUUAGAGCUUCGGCUUGAAUGCUAGUGCUUGUCUCAAUAAUAAUAUCAACCUUUUAAAACAAUGUUUUCUAGAAUGUAUACUGUCUCGUUGUAAUGGCGAGUACAACCCCUAUAAAACU
rnacentral:misc_RNA from 1 species